CUUACAGACUUCUUUGGCAUUCUGUCCACCUCCUUCUAUGUAUACAAGUUUAUGUAUAUACAUGGUGUUUGAAAGAGGGAGGUGGUCAUACUGUCAACAGAUAUCUGUUAG
rfam:Brassica napus, WGS project CCCW01000000 data, contig: 6788